UACCUGGUUGAUCCUGCCAGUAGUCAUAUGCUUGUCUCAAAGAUUAAGCCAUGCAAGUCUAAGUACGAGCUCUCGUACAGUGAAACUGCGAAUGGCUCAUUAAAUCAGUUAUGGUUCAUUUGAUCGUACAGUUUACUUGGAUAACUGUGGUAAUUCUAGAGCUAAUACAUGCGAGAAGCGCCGACCUCGCGGGAGGCGUGCAUUUAUCAGACCAAAAACCGGCCGCGUCUUCGGGCGCGUUCGCCUUGGUGACUCUGGAUAACUUUGCGGAUCGCACGGUCUAGCACCGGCGACGGAUCAUUCAAGUGUCUGCCCUAUCAACUUUCGUCGGUACGGUAUUUGCCUACCGAGGUUCUUUCGGGUGACGGGGAAUCAGGGUUCGAUUCCGGAGAGGGAGCCUGAGAAACGGCUACCACAUCCAAGGAAGGCAGCAGGCGCGCAAAUUACCCAUUCCCGACGCGGGGAGGUAGUGACGAAAAAUAACAAUGCAGGACUCGUUCGAGGCCCUGUAAUUGGAAUGAGUACACUUUAAAAGCUUUAACGAGUAUCCAUUGGAGGGCAAGUCUGGUGCCAGCAGCCGCGGUAAUUCCAGCUCCAAAAGUAUAUAUUUAAGUUGUUGCGGUUAAAAAGCUCGUAGUUGGAUUUUGGGCGCAGGCGGCCGGUCCGUCGCAAGGCGUGUACUGGACGUCCUGGCCUUCCCUCCGGUUCUCCGCCGGUGCUCUUGACUGAGUGUCGGCGGCGGCCGGAACGUUUACUUUGAAAAAAUUAGAGUGUUCAAAGCAGGCUCUCGAGCCUGGAUAAUGGUGCAUGGAAUAAUGGAAUAGGACCUCGGUUCUAUUUUGUUGGUUUUCGGAGCGCGAGGUAAUGAUUAAGAGGGACAGACGGGGGCAUUCGUACUGUGCCGUUAGAGGUGAAAUUCUUGGAUCGGCGCAAGACGAACGACUGCGAAAGCAUUUG
rnacentral:ncRNA from 1 species